UAGUGCCACCUGCUUCGCUUUGGAAAAACGUGGCUCUCCUCAUGACCUAUUCCAGUUCCAGUCCCGUAACCAACAAGAGGUGUCUGAUUAAGACAGAAAACCCACCACUACCAUUACCUGAAUCUGUUUUGGGUGAGAAGGUAAACCCGUUAUCCCAGCAUGCCGCUUGAGCGACAUCACCUUUGGAGACAGCUACCUUCCUCUACAAACUCAGCCCCCUCUGAAAGCCUCUGCAGCAACUUCCUGGGACAAUCGUAGGGAUCACGAGACUGUUUGAGUCAAUUCCUAAAGCCCAACCAAAGAGAACCACAAAGGUGGAUGGAAAGUGGAGGAGCUACAUGGCUCACAGUGAACCCUGGAAUCCCAAGCUUACAGCAGCCUCGAAAGUGGAGGGCCUCAAAGCUACACUGCCAGCAGGGCCGUACUCAUGUUCAAGACUAAAAGUCAGCAGCUGAAGGUGGGACACACAUUAAUGGCUUGGCAAAUGAGACCUGCACUGAUGAUUAUCUUUGUUCUUUCUGAGUAUAUUUACAGAGUCUAUUUUCAAAGAGCCAGGCUAUACAGAAUUCUUACGUUUUUCCACAUGUUACAUGAAAGAUCCCAUGAAGAAGAACCACACGUUUUCCUCAGAUCCAAUGAAAUUGGGCAGAAGUGGAAAUGAGAAAAAUGAAAGAGGCGGCUAGUCAGUCUAUAGCUAUCCGGAUAUCGUGUAUGUGUGAGGGGGAGGAUGGCGGGUCCUUAAGACAGGUCAAACCCAAGGGGUGCAGAGCCUCAAACCAAGAUUUCCACCUCCCCAUCCGCUGCCACACAUACAUAUCUAUUUUUAUGAAUAAAACCCAACUGAAAAUAAUCUCAAGGGGAGACCAAGAUGGAAAAGAGGAAAAAAAAUGCUAAAAUGAAAGACCGAAGAGUGUGUAUGUGUGUAAGGAUAGAGUAGACCUAUUGACUGAGCCUUGUUGAAGGGGUUACGGAUUCCUUGUGAGCAUAAAAUCAGAGCCAUUACAACUCAGCUUUCUCCUCCAGCCCCAUAUUCCUAAGUUAUCCUCCUGCCAAGAGGGAUAUGAAAGGGACCAGUCCCACUACACAUCCUCUACUGCCUCUUCUAGGAACCAUUAAGGUUCUGGAUAGAAGAUUCU